AUAUAUAUAUUUUCCUAAACAAAUUUACUAAUACCAUAGAACUAUAGAUAUACAAACACAGCUUGGAAUUCCUCAGCAGCUACAAACACAGCUUGGAAUUCCUCAGCAGCUUCGGUGCCAAAACAUUUAGGGCUCAGAAGUUCUUUUUCCACGCAGUGUAUUUGACGCUUUGGAAUUACUCAGCAGCUUCGGUGCCAGAUAAAAAGAUAGAGUUAUUUUGUGGAGAAGACAUUUAGGAUUCAGUAGUUCUUUUUCCACGGUAAGACUUUUGCAAUCCUCUUUCAUUUUUCUCUCUAUAUGUUUCUAUUCAUCUAUGUACAUGUAGUUUCUUAUGUUUAUAUUCUAAAACUUAAAGCGUUAGUUUGUUGAACUAGGCUCUCAAGAAUGUUCGAUUAAGCUUCUUUGUUUGUAUUUUCUCUUCCCUUUAGCUUAAAAACUAUAUUGCGUUACAUUCUAGAAUGGAAUUGACAUGAUUAUUUCAAAUUAAAGAAGAAGAAAAAUAGAAUUACUAAUCUAAAGUGAUUGUGGGUUGUCCUAGAAGAAUGUUCUGUAUUGCGAUUUUUUGGUUGCAUGAUCUUUCUUUUAAUUUGAAAAAUAUAUUGUGACAAAUGCGAGUAGAGAAUGGACUAUUAACUAUUAACUGUUAAUUAUCAUUAGUUCCUUACUUUAUUAGUAAUAUUUUUGAUAGAAAUAUAUGGUAUAGCAUUGAAAUGACGCAUUAAUUUAUCAUAUACGGAUUAGAAACAAAAAAAUAGAAUUGGUAGUCCAAAGUGAUUGACGUAUGAUUAGGGAGUCCAUCAACCAAAGAGUUACACUAUAUUGCUGGCAUUAGGAACCAAGCUGACAUUCCUUGCUCUGGGUAUAUGCCUUUGGGUCUUGUUGCGCCCUUUCUAUGAGAAACCAGCAACCCUCAUUUCCUAGCACAGGUAACUUCCCAUUGUCCAUUUUAGAUGGUGCUCUGCUUACAAGGAAUCGACCAUCCUGUAUUCAUGCCGUGAGUAAUACCCCUGGUUAUGGUGUUGAUGGAUCAUGCCUGCAAAAUUCUUUAAACCUUCUUCAAAACACCAGCCAAGUAACAAGCAUUGUAUCAAACAUCUCCCUUCCAAUGAGAAAUGAAGUAAGAAAAUCUAGCUGUAUGCCUCAGUCUAAACUCAGUGGUUCGUGGGGCCAACAACAUUUUAUUCCAAGCUCAUGACCUGUUGGUCUUGUUUCAUCUCACACUUCUAAGAUCAACUAUGACAAAAAUGAAAAUUGUGUGGAGUGUGGUGCAACGCUCCACAACCUUCAGGACUUGGGAGGGCAUUGGGGUUCCCAUAACCAGGUUAGGAUUAAGGAGGAAAGAAUAACCAAACAACCAAGUGCUUUGCAUGUAGAUGCAGCCACGGUCCUAUCCAAGUUUGUGGAUAACUCUUGUUCUGCUCCAAAUGUUUUUACUGGAACAAGUCAUGUUUCAGAAGUCAAAAAAGAGAAGAUCGAAGAAAAUUGCUUUUCUGAUGAGGCCUCAUCAUUCCCUUUGGAAAAAAAGGUUAUAAAGAAGGAUUUUUUUCCAUUUUUUUGAGAAUCUGAAAAACGAGUCCUCUCAACUAAAGAAAAAUUACUAGAUGAUAUUUUGUAGAAAAGAACUUCUGUGAGCGGGAUUUUGAGAACGAAUGGAUUUUCUUCACCAAGUGAGUUAGAGAAGAAUCCAAGGCUCAGGUCCCAGCAAUAAUCAUUCUGAAUGAAUGUUGUCCGUGACUUUUAUCAAUUCAAAUAUUUUGUGUCUUCUUGAAGUAGACAGAGUUGGAAUUCCUGCCCCAGGAGACACAAUAUUGUUUAUUGGAAGUUUACUUGGUGUCGGAUGAAAGGAUGCAGCUUCCUACCCUGAAAAAAAAAAAAAAAAAAAAAAGAAA